rnacentral:rRNA from 1 species
UACAGAGGUCUCAAGCGUUGUUCGGAUUCAUUGGGCGUAAAGGGUGCGUAGGCGGCGCGGUAAGUCGGGUGUGAAAUCUUGGAGCUUAACUCCGAAAACUGCAUUCGAUACUGCCGUGCUUGAGGACUGGAGAGGAGACUGGAAUUUACGGUGUAGCGGUGAAAAUGCGUAGAUAUCGUAAGGAAGACCAGUGGCGAAGGCGGGUCUCUGGACAGUUCCUGACGCUGAGGCACGAAGGUCAGGGGGAGCAAACGGGG